rnacentral:tRNA from 1 species
GUAGUGGUGGUUCAGUGGUACAAUUCUCACUUUCUCUGUAGGAGACCUGGGUUCGAUUCCCAGCCAAUGCA